rnacentral:rRNA from 1 species
UACGAAGGGGGCUAGCGUUGCUCGGAAUCACUGGGCGUAAAGCGCACGUAGGCGGAUUGCUAAGUCAGGGGUGAAAUCCUGGAGCUCAACUCCAGAACUGCCUUUGAUACUGGCGAUCUCGAGUCCGGGAGAGGUGAGUGGAACUGCGAGUGUAGAGGUGAAAUUCGUAGAUAUUCGCAAGAACACCCGUGGCGAAGGCGGCUCUCUGGGACGGUACUGACGCUGAGACGCGAAAGCGUGGGGAGCGAACAGG